ACCUGACUGCUAUCGGAUUGAUACUAAGCCAUGCGAGUCAUUGUAGCAAUACAAGGCAUACGGCUCAGUAACGCGUAGUCAACCUAACCUAUGGACGGGAAUAACCUCGGGAAACUGAGAAUAAUGCCCGAUAGAACAUUAUACCUGGAAUGGUUUAUGUUCCAAAUGAUUUAUCGCCAUAGGAUGGGACUGCGGCCUAUCAGUUUGUUGGUGAGGUAAUGGCCCACCAAGACUAUUACAGGUACGGGCUCUGAGAGGAGUAGCCCGGAGAUGGGUACUGAGACACGGACCCAGGCCCUAUGGGGCGCAGCAGGCGAGAAAACUUUGCAAUGUGCGAAAGCACGACAAGGUUAAUCCGAGUGAUUUCUGCUAAAGAGAUCUUUUGUUAGUCCUAGAAACACUAACGAAUAAGGGGUGGGCAAGUUCUGGUGUCAGCCGCCGCGGUAAAACCAGCACCUCAAGUGGUCAGGAUGAUUAUUGGGCCUAAAGCAUCCGUAGCCGGCUCUGUAAGUUUUCGGUUAAAUCUGUACGCUCAACGUACAGGCUGCCGGGAAUACUGCAGAACUAGGGAGUGGGAGAGGUAGACGGUACUCGGUAGGAAGUGGUAAAAUGCUUUGAUCUAUCGAUGACCACCUGUGGCGAAGGCGGUCUACCAGAACACGUCCGACGGUGAGGGAUGAAAGCUGGGGGAGCAAACCGGAUUAGAUACCCGGGUAGUCCCAGCUGUAAACUAUGCAAACUCAGUGAUGCAUUGGCUUGUGGCCAAUGCAGUGCUGCAGGGAAGCCGUUAAGUUUGCCGCCUGGGAAGUACGUACGCAAGUAUGAAACUUAAAGGAAUUGGCGGGGGAGCACCACAAGGGGUGAAGCCUGCGGUUC
rnacentral:rRNA from 1 species